AGCUCCAAUAGCGUAUAUUAAAGUUGUUGCAGUUAAAAGCUCGUAGUUGGAUUUGUGGUGUGUCCAGUCGGCCUUUGCUCUUUGAGUGAUUGUGCUGUCACUGGUCCGCCAUGUUUGGGUGGAAUCUGUGUGGCAUUAAGUUGUCGUGCAGGGGAUGCCCAUCGUUUACUGUGAAAAAUUAGAGUGUUCAAAGCAGGCUUAUGCCUUGAAUAUAUUAGCAUGGAAUAAUAAUAUAGGACCUUGGUACUAUUUUGUUGGUUUGCGCACUGAGGUAAUGAUUAAGAGGGACAGUUGGGGGUAUUUGUAUUCCAUUGUCAGAGGUGAAAUUCUUGGAUUUUUGGAAGACAAACUACUGCGAAAGCAUUUACCAAGGAUGUUUUCA
rnacentral:rRNA from 1 species